GACGAACCGUGCAAACGUUGUUCGGAAUCACUGGGCUUAAAGGGCGCGUAGGCGGGCUGGCCAGUCAGGGGUGAAAGCCCACGGCUCAACCGUGGAAGUGCCUUUGAUACUGCCAGUCUGGAGGGAGGUAGGGGCGUGCGGAACUUCCGGUGGAGCGGUGAAAUGCGUAGAUAUCGGAAGGAACACCGGUGGCGAAAGCGGCGCGCGGGACCUCUACUGACGCUGAGGCGCGAAAGCCAGGGGAGCAAACGGG
rnacentral:rRNA from 1 species